ensembl:lncRNA
AUGAACAUACUUUGCAUGCAUAUUCAGAGUUUGAAACUGCUGCACUAGCAACUCCAGGGUCAUGGGUUCAAUUCCCAGGAAACAAAGGUAUGUAAGUCACUUUGGAUAAAAGCAAUUUAAAUCAAUGCUUUCCAGAUGUGAUAUGGCCAACAUAGUGGUCCUUAGAUAUUCAUCCUGCACAUUUCCUUUCAUAUCUAAGAAAGGUUUUUUUUUUUUUUUUGCACUGAAGGAUUUUUCCAGAAUGUGAAUUUGAAGCAUGAGCAGAUGUGCUUCAGCACCUACAGGUUGGAUUAUAUGACGUCUUAACAUCUAACAAACACAGAAGAAAUGAAACAGAACCGUCUGGGAAACUGAUCUCCAUUAAGUCUCCUGAGAUCUCUCUCCAUCAUCUCUUCAUCUGUCACUCACGGCAGAGCCGUACUGCAGUGUCAGGUCAGCGCCGCAGCAGAACUUUGAGCACGCUCUCCGGUUCCUCCAGGACACUGCCAGUCAGCGCUGCACCGGAAAGCAUGUCAGUCACUGCGUUAGAAGCUUCCUGACGCUUCAUCAAAGCUGUAGGUCCUGAAGAAGCCUUGCCAGCUCGUUUGUAAGUCGAGUGCUUAUGGAACGAUUUUUUCAAACAAUUCACAACAGCGCAUGCAAUCGCGUCUUGAGUUCGCUGACAGCACAACUUGUUGACAUGCACUGCUUUCAAAGCACCAAAAAAUCUGCUUGACGGGUGGUGCAACAUCAUUCAUGUAUGACUAGCAUAACCCAACACAACCCUUG